rnacentral:rRNA from 1 species
CCUACGGGUGGCUGCAGUGGGGGAUAUUGCACAAUGGGGGGAACCCUGAUGCAGCGACGCCGCGUGGGUGAAGGAGCGUUUCGGCGCGUAAAGCCCUAUCGGCAGGGAAGAAGAUGACGGUACCUGACCAAGAAGCCCCGGCUAACUACGUGCCAGCAGCCGCGGUAAUACGGAGGAUGCGAGCGUUAUCCGGAUUUAUUGGGUUUAAAGGGUGCGCAGGCGGAUUUUUAAGUCAGCGGUCAAAUCGUGGGGCUCAACCCCAUCCAGCCGUUGAAACUGGGGAUCUAGAGUGUGCGAGAGGUAUGCGGAAUGCGUGGUGUAGCGGUGAAAUGCAUAGAUAUCACGCAGAACCCCGAUUGCGAAGGCAGCAUACCGGUGCACAACUGACGCUCAGGCACGAAAGCGUGGGUAUCGAACAGGAUUAGAUACCCUGGUAGUC